AACGAACGCUGGCGGCAGGCUUAACACAUGCAAGUCGAGCGCCCCGCCAGGGGUGCGGCAGAUGGGUGAGUAACGCGUGGGAACGUACCUUUUGGUUCGCAACACCUCCGGGAUACUGGAGCUAAUACCGGAUAAGCCCUAACGGGGAAAGAUUGAUCGCCGAAAGAUUGGGCCGCGUCUGAUUAGCGAGUUGGUGGGGUAACGGCUAACCAAGGCGACGAUCGGUAGCUGGGCUGAGUGGAUGAUCAGCCACACUGGGGCUGAGACACGGCCCAGACUCCUACGGAGGGGAGCAGAAGGGAAUAUUGGGGAAUGGGCGCAAACCUAGUACAGCCAUGCCGCGUAAGUGAUGAAGGCCUUAGGAUUGUAAAGCUCUUUGGUCCGGGGAGAUAAUGACGGUACCGGAAGAAUAAGCCCCGGCUAACUACGUG
rnacentral:rRNA from 1 species